rnacentral:rRNA from 1 species
GAUGAACGCUGGCGGCGUGCCUAAUACAUGCAAGUCGAGCGAACGGACGAGAAGCUUGCUUUUCUGAUGUUAGCGGCGGACGGGUGAGUAACACGUGGAUAACCUACCUAUAAGACUGGGAUAACUUCGGGAAACCGGAGCUAAUACCGGAUAAUAUUUUGAACCGCAUGGUUCAAAAGUGAAAGACGGUCUUGCUGUCACUUAUAGAUGGAUACGCGCUGCAUUAGCUAGUUGGUAAGGUAACGGCUUACCAAGGCAACGAUGCAUAGCCGACCUGAGAGGGUGAUCGGCCACACUGGAGCUGAGACACGGUCCAGACUCCUACGGGAGGCAGCAGUAGGGAAUCUUCCGCAAUGGGCGAAAGCCUGACGGAGCAACGCCGCGUGAGUGAUGAAGGUCUUCGGAUCGUAAAACUCUGUUAUUAGGGAAGAACAUAUGUGUAAGUAACUGUGCACAUCUUGACGGUACCUAAUCAGAAAGCCACGGCUAACUACGU